AAUCCAUAGGUUAAUGAGGCGAACCGGGGGAACUGAAACAUCUAAGUACCCCGAGGAAAAGAAAUCAACCGAGAUUCCCCCAGUAGCGGCGAGCGAACGGGGAGGAGCCCAGAGCCUGAAUCAGCAUGUGUGUUAGUGGAAGCGUCUGGAAAGGCGCGCGAUACAGGGUGACAGCCCCGUACACAAAAGCGCAUGUGCUGUGAGCUCGAUGAGUAGGGCGGGACACGUGGUAUCCUGUCUGAAUAUGGGGGGACCAUCCUCCAAGGCUAAAUACUCCUGACUGACCGAUAGUGAACCAGUACCGUGAGGGAAAGGCGAAAAGAACCCCGGCGAGGGGAGUGAAAAAGAACCUGAAACCGUGUACGUACAAGCAGUGGGAGCCCCACCACCAAAGCAUUUGCUGUACCGCGUUGACGGAGCGAAGCGACGUCAAACCGAUAAAACAGCAGUGUAAAGUGAGCCGCAGGGCGCUUUGCG
rnacentral:rRNA from 5 species